rnacentral:rRNA from 1 species
AUGACCUGAACUCAGACGUGAUCACCCGCUGAACUUAAGCAUAUCAGUAAGCGGAGGAAAAGAAACUAACCAGGAUUCCCGUAGUAACGGCGAGUGAACUGGGACCAAGUCCAGCGCUUAAUCGUUGUGCCCCUGGUGCGGCGAAGUGUAGCGUACAGGUCGGUCUCAAGUGUCAGCCGGUUGUUCAAGUCCCCUUGACUGGGGUUCCGUAGAAGGUGCAAGACCUGUUCAACAACCGUGUUUGGCUUUUCUGGCCGUGCCUUGGAGUCGGGUUGUUUGGGAGCACAGCCCAAAGCAGGUGGUAAACUCCAUCUAAGACUGAAUAUGACCAUGAGACCGAUAGCGAACAAGUACCGUGAGGGAAAGUUGCAAAGCACUUUGAAGAGAGAGUUAAAGAGGACGUGAAACCGAUGAGGUGGAAACGGAUAGAGCCAGCGUAUCUGGUCUGCAUUCAACCGCCUCGUGGACAGCGCUCGUGCGGCUGGCGACCCCAGAUUGGGACAGUACGUGCAGGGCUUGGCUGACUAUGGGUGGCGCAUUUGCGGGCUGUGUGCGCCGAGACGCUUGGCGCAGCAGCGUGAACCUGGUUUUGAGGCCAGCUUGCUGGUACCCGAACUUGGGGGAACGCUAUUUGCUCUGGGUGUAUCAAAUGAACAUGGCUUACGGGCUAAGUUGGGUGUCAAGCUGUUUGCCGGUGGCGGUCACAUGUGGACACGUGCUGUGUAGGCGGUUUGAUCUCUGACCAGCCAACAUGUUCUUUCUCGGUGUAAGAGCUGGUCAUCUCUCCGACCCGUCUUGAAACACGGACCAAGGAGUUUAUCGUGUGCGCAAGUCAUUGGGCGUUGAAAACCCAAAGGCGCAAUGAAAGUGAAUGUCUCCGCAAGGAGCUGAUGUGCGAUCCUGGUCUCUUCGGAGGCCAAGCGCAGCAUGGCCCCAUCCUGACUGCUUGCAGUGGGGUGGAGGAAGAGCGUACGCGGUGAGACCCGAAAGAUGGUGAACUAUUCCUGAGCAGGAUGAAGCCAGAGGAAACUCUGGUGGAAGUCCGAAGCGAUUCUGACGUGCAAAUCGAUCGUCUGACUUGGGUAUAGGGGCGAAAGACUAAUCGAACCAUCUAGUAGCUGGUUCCCUCCGAAGUUUCCCCCAGGAUAGCUGGAGCUCGCCCAUGUGUAGUUAUACUCGGUAAAGCGAAUGAUUAGAGGACUUGGGGACGAAAUGUUCUUAACCUAUUCUCAAACUCUAAAUGGGUAUGAAGCUGAUGUUGCUUGACUCUUGUGAACAUUGGCAUUCGAAUACAUGAGCUCCAAGUGGGCCAUUUUUGGUAAGCAGAACUGGCGAUGUGGGAUGAACCAAACGUGGAGUUAAGGUGCCAAAGUGCCCGCUCAUUAGACCCCAUAAAAGGUGUUGGUUGAUAUAGACAGCAGGACGGUGGCCAUGGAAGUCGGAAACCGCUAAGGAAUGUGUAACAACUCACCUGCCGAAUCAACUAGCCCUGAAAAUGGAUGGCGCUGGAGCGGGCCACCUAUACUCCACCACCAUUGCUUGUGCUCUCUGGUGGUGCGGCCUGGCAAUGGUGUGUAGGAGGGUCGUGAUGGUUGCGUUGAAGGCUUUGGGCGUGGGCCCAGCUGGAGCUUCCAUUGGUGCAGAUCUUGGUGGUAGUAGCAAAUAUUCAAGUGAGAUCCUUGAAGACUGAAGUGGAGAAGGGUUCCACGUGAACAGCAGUUGAAUGUGGGUCAGUCGAUCCUAAGGCACCGGCCAAUGCCGUCUAGACACUGGGAGUGUUCUUGUCAGAAUAGUGUUCGCACUUCCUUCUACGCCACUCGGUUGCCGAAAGGGAAGUGGGUUAAUAUUCCCACACCAGGCUAGGGAGAUGGCGGCUCGCAAGAGUAGCCUAGCGCGGUAACGCAACUGAACUUGCAGACGCUAUGUGGAGUCCGGGCUAGAGUUUUCUUUUCUGGUUUAGCGGUCAUGUCCCUGGAAGUGGCUCAGCCUGAGAUAGGGAUGUUGGCUGCGUAAAGCACCGCGGUUCCUGUGGUGUCCCGUGUGCUCCUCAUGGCCCGUGAAAAUGCAAGGGAAGCUCUCUAAAGGAAUUUCCUGCCUGCUCGUACCGAUAUCCGCAGCAGGUCUCCAAGGUGAACAGCCUCUAGUCGAUAGAAUAAUGUAGGUAAGGGAAGUCGGCAAAUUAGAUUCGUAACUUCGGGAAAAGAAUUGGCUCUAAAGGUUGAGCUAGUCGGGCUGUGGUGUGAAGCGAGUGGUUUGCGCCCGUGGCUGCGCUCGUCCUCACGGAUGGGCGUGGACUUGCUUGGUGUGAGCCGCUUGUGGAGCGCCUAAGCUAUGUGCCAGCCAGCAAUGGUUCUGCACUUCGAUUGGCACAGAACAACCAGUUUAGAACUGGCACGAACUCGGGGAAUCCGACUGUCUAAUUAAAACAGAGGAGACGGAUGGUCCUUGCCGGACGUUGACCGUGUCUGAUUUCUGCCCAGUGCUCUGAAUGUUAAGCCAA